GGGCAAGGGUAUCUUACUGGAUAUCCCUGCCUAGUGGAGGUCUUCUAAAGGGGAGAACCACCCUGUGAAAGAAGUAAGACUGCAGCAGUGAAAGUUUGCGGUAUUUUCUGCAUCUCUGGAGAUGACUUCUGUGGACAGACGAAGGACAAGCAGACAGCGCAAGUGUCUAUAGCUCAGGGCUUUGAAAUGGCAAGGCAUACUGUUUAAGGAUAUCUCUACCAAUUUUAACUAACAAGCGUGGCAUGCUCAGGCCAAUAUUAUGGACAGCAACAGACAAGAGUACGCUUUGUCUCAUCAGUCUCAUGGAUAUAACUUUCUGCUUACAGCUGUAUUUGGCUAAGACCUGUAGGUGGUUAUAGACUUUGACUCAGUGGCUGGGCUUGGAUGGGAGCCUUCUGGCUUACAAUCCUAUGCUCCAACCAUCUAAUCUCUUAGCACAAAGGAAACUGCGGUGUCCCUGCAGACCCUUAGUAAGACACCACAGCUUUGCUGAGUGCUUAGCUAUCAAAAGCUAAGGGUAUUUGAAGGUUUCACAGAUGGCAUUCAGUGACUCUGAUCCCUCUUUCUACCUGGAGGCUGCCAAAGGAUGGCAGCAAAGAGACAUGUGUUAGAGGGACAUCAGGGUGUGAAUAAAGGGGCAUGUGCAACAGGAAAAGUGCUGCAAUAGUUGUUGCUGAGAAGGAAAAGCAUUCCAUCCUGGAAAGCCAACUAUAUGGAAUCCAGUCUCUUCUGCAGUUUGGUGCUGAUAAAAAUGCUGCACUGGCAUCUGCAAUAUGAUACUCCAAAGCAAGAAUAUGGUUUGUUAUUACAUCUGUGGCCAGUAGGACUUCGUGGUGGUGGUGGUGGUGGUGGAGACAUCCUCAGCUAUGGCUGAAUGUUUAGUUUCCAUGCCCCUUCUGUCCUAGGAUGACAGUCAGCAAUAAUUCUUCAGUGGUUUCUACCCUGUAAUUCUUAGCCUCUAGGGAGUAUAUACAGAUCCAGAAACUCGUUCCAUGCAAGCCCCUUCUAACAGGAUGAUGACUUCUAGUCACUGCUGGACUUGAUCUGGAUUCACAUGGGAAAGCUAGAGAAGAAAUGACCGUUUGCUGGAGCAGCCUUUGCCAGGCCAGAUUUCUGUAAUGAGCUAUCUGCGUUUGGAAACAACCCUGGACUGACAGAGAAAGAAACAUAAUAAUCAAUUUGAGGCAUAUGAUUUAAUAAACUACUGGCCACAAGAUCUAGAUAGGAGAGGAAAAUUGAUCAGUAAUGACAACUGUUAUGUACAGGAGUGUUAAGAAUACCACCUGGACAACUAGAAGAUGGGCUGCGUCCUUUAAUUCUGUUGCAAAUUUCUGAUAUCUAAGCAUGCUUUUCUUCAGGACAAGAGAAGAAUAGAUGCCCUAGGGGAACAGAAGAUUGAGCAUGCUGCCCUUUGGCCAUUGGCACUAAUUUGCCAACUUAGUAGAGAUGACAAAAGAUGAAGUGGGGAGUUCACACCCAUCUCAGGUAAAAGAAUUGUCUGUUUCAAGAUAACUGGGAAACACUGAUAGGACAAAAUAGAUGGGAGAAGAACAAGACUCCUUUAUUGUCUCGUGGACUUCAAUCGAAGAGCCAGAUCAAUGUUUUCUCACCAUAUCAAACCUACUUUUUCUUGAGCAUAAAGCAGAAAACAAAUGCUUCCCUUUAACCUGUAAAUGCUAGGAGAGCUUUGUAUGGACACUCAUUUUAGAAAGAAGAAAAUUCAGAGUCACUGUAGACUAAGUUAGAAAAAGAGGAGAUAAAUUGAAUUGGCUUCCCAAGCCACCCAGAUUGUACUCCACAAAGGAUUCUGUGUGUCCUUA